UGGACUUGUAGACAAGUACAAAAAAAAAUCCUCUUUUUCAACCCAAAACUCAUUAUUUGGUAUGAAUUUCAAUACAUACAAGCAGGAAUAUA
rnacentral:snoRNA from 1 species